rnacentral:sRNA from 1 species
CCUGAGCCCUGCGGAACCUCGGCGCCCGGCCCCACCCCGCCCGUACCUGCACUUGUUUAUUGUUGUUAUUUCUUACCGCGGAGCCCCGCAGUCGGGUCCUCCCGCCCGCUCCCGCGCAGCGCUAGCAUUCUCCAGUCCCUCAGUCCCUUCCCGCGCGGUGCGCCGCAGCCGAGGCGAUGCGCCUCAUUCAGAACAUGUGCACCAUCGCCGAGUACCCCGCGCCGGGCAACGCCGCGGCCUCCGACUGCUAUGUGGGCGCCGCCGGCCGCCGCCUGGUCAAGAUCGCCGUGGUGGGCGCCAGCGGCGUGGGCAAGACCGCACUGGUGGUCCGGUUCCUCACCAAACGAUUCAUCGGUGACUAUGAAAGAAAUGCAGGUGAGACAAUGCAUUUGAGAAAAAUUCUGUCCCAUUGCAGGAGGACUGCGGUUCCCAUUUUCCAGCGCUUCCCAGGGAGGUUCUUUCAGUGACAGUCCGAGCCUGAGGAUCCCGCCACUUAAAACUUUCCCCAGUCCCCAGCCCUCCAUGGCGCCCCCCUCCCAUAACUACCAUCUGGCCUCAUUCCAUUCCAAGCCCAUUCAUCAUUUUAUCAAGUGCCUGAAAGUAUUCCCCUUGGUAUGUUUUAACUAUAGUGACCCCAGUUGGAAGCACCCUUUGUAGUCAA